CAGCCGCCGCGGGAAUACGUAGGUGGCAAGCGUUGUCCGGAAUUAUUGGGCGUAAAGGGCUCGCAGGCGGUUUCUUAAGUCUGAUGUGAAAGCCCCCGGCUCAACCGGGGAGGGUCAUUGGAAACUGGGAAACUUGAGUGCAGAGGAGGAGAGUGGAAUUCCACGUGUAGCGGUGAAAUGCGUAGAGAUGUGGAGGAACACCAGUGGCGAAGGCGACUCUCUGGUCUGUAACUGACGCUGAGGAGCGAAAGCGUGGGGAGCGAACAGGAUUAGAUACCCGGGUAGUCCCUGUCUCUUAUAC
rnacentral:rRNA from 1 species